UCGAAUUUUGGUUCUCGCUGA
rnacentral:piRNA from 1 species